rnacentral:sRNA from 1 species
UCAUAAACCUUAUUGCAGUGGAAAGCCCACAGCGCUGGACUUGCAACGGAAAGAAGGGCUGAAA